AAAAGUAAAUUAGUGGUUGCUUCAGGUUGAUGGAGGGAGGGCAGGAGAGGGAUGGUUGCUGUUGGGCACUGGCCUUCUCUUUCAGGUGAUGGGAAUGUUCAAGGGCUGGCUGUGGUGAGGGCUUCAUACACACGUGUGUGUAAAAUCCCCAGCACAGUUUGUGUUUCUUUUUUCAUCGCUGUCACAAAAUGCUUGACAAUAGCAACUUAAGGAAAAAAGAGAGGGAGGGAUGGUUUGCUUAGGCUCGUAGUCUGAGAGGGUGGCAGGCGGACAUAGUGGAGAAGAGUGAGGCGGUGGGUCGCAUCAUGGCCACAGUCAGAAAACACAGAGACAAAUGACGAGCUUAACUGACUUUUUCCUGUUUCUUUUUCAUUCAGUUUAGGACACCAGUCCAUGGAAUGGUGCCACCCUUGUUCAGAGCAUGUCUUCCAUUCUCAGUUAAACAUCUCUGAAACACCCACACAGAUACACCCAGAGGGAUUUAGGAAUGUGUCUCCACUGAGCAUGUCUGAAGACUUCUGGAAGACCUGCAGAGUGGGUGGCAUUGUGCUCACAGCCACUAAGUGUGACAGGCAGCAUCACGAAGGCUCCAUGUAUCACCCAGGAUGGGAGAGCAGCAACACCUGAGCAUGUGGCUGUGGACUGAGCCCCAACAAGCUUCAAAGUAGCAAUGGCCUGGGUGAAGGAGGCUCAGAUCUGACCUCCUACUUGCUUCACUGUGGCAGCAGGAGCCCUCUGAGCUCCCCCAGGAGGGAACAAAGGAAAAAAGAUUUUGUAGACAAACUUCAAGAUACACUAUAAUGGAAACAGUAAUUUUGAAAGUUGCCGUCAAGGAGCAAGAUUGGAUCAGACCCUUCACUGGUGAUAUUCCCCUUAGACCUCAACACAACUCCAUGAAGUAGGGUCUUUGAGUGACCUGAAGCUCAGAAAUGUCAAGUGACUCCCUAAGGUUGCCCAGCUGCAUGGCUGGCCCAGCUCUGCUGGACUUCAAAGCCUGGACCCCUUCGAUGCUACCCCCGUGCCAGGCUGAUGGUUAUCUUCCCCGAGUUCUCAUUUUCCCGGCUUGCUCUGGCUCCUCUCAACUUCUUCCCCAUUUUUUCCACAAAUGUUCAAGGAGAGAUUCACUCCCGUCAGAUCAAUGUUACUGCUGUAAUGAAAACCACCAUCCAGACCCAUGGAGGACGAGGUUUGUGGGACCCUAAUGAGAAUGGUUCCGAUUAUGUAGAAAGCAACCUCGUGGUUAUU